rnacentral:rRNA from 1 species
AUACGGAGGGUCCAAGCGUUAUCCGGAUUCAUUGGGUUUAAAGGGUCCGCAGGCGGGAAAAUAAGUCAGUGGUGAAAGACUACAGCUCAACUGUAGAACUGCCAUUGAUACUGUUUUUCUUGAGUAUAGAUGAAGUGGGCGGAAUAUAUCAUGUAGCGGUGAAAUGCAUAGAUAUGCUAUAGAACACCGAUUGCGAAGGCAGCUCACUAAACUAUUACUGACGCUCAGGGACGAAAGCAUGGGGAGCGAACAGGAUUAGAAACCCUUGUAGUCC